rnacentral:rRNA from 1 species
UAAGCUUGCUGCUUCGCUGACGAGUGGCCGACGGGUGAGUAAUGUCUGGGAAACUGCCUGAUGGAGGGGGAUAACUACUGGAAACGGUAGCUAAUACCGCAUAACGUCGCAAGACCAAAGAGGGGGACCUUCGGGCCUCUUGCCCUCGGAUGUGCCCAGAUGGGAUUAGCUAGUAGGUGGGGUAACGGCUCACCUAGGCGACUAUCCCUAGCUGGUCUGAUAGGAUGACCAGCCACACUGGAACUGAGACACGGUCCAGACUCCUACGGGAGGCAGCCGUGGGGAAUAUUGCACAAUGGGCGCAAGCCUGAUGCAGCCAUGCCGCGUGUAUGAAGAAGGCCUUCGGGUUGUAAAUUACUUUCAGCGGGGAGGAAGGGAGUAAAGUUAAUAUCUUUGCUCAUUGACGUUACCCGCAAAAGAAGCACCGGCCAACUCCGUGCCAGCAGCCUCGGUAAUACCGAGGGUGCACGCUUUAAUUGGAAUUACUGGGCGUAAACUCCACCCGUGUGGUUUGCCCAUUCAAAUAUGAAAUCCCCUGGCUCAACCCUGG